rnacentral:rRNA from 1 species
CAGUCGCCGCGGGAAUACGAAGGGUGCAAGCGUUACUCGGAAUUACUGGGCGUAAAGCGUGCGUAGGUGGUGGUUUAAGUCCGUUGUGAAAGCCCUGGGCUCAACCUGGGAAUUGCAGUGGAUACUGGGUCACUAGAGUGUGGUAGAGGAUAGUGGAAUUUCCGGUGUAGCAGUGAAAUGCGUAGAGAUCGGAAGGAACAUCUGUGGCGAAGGCGACUAUCUGGGCCAUUACUGACACUGAGGCACGAAAGCGUGGGGAGCAAACAGGAUUAGAUACCCCCGUAGUCCCUGUCUCUUAUAC